AAGAAAAGAAGAGGCAGAACCGCCGCCACUGCAUCUAGACUGCCCGAUUUGAGUGAUGGCGGCAGAAGAAAUUAAUCCUAGAUCGCUUAUGUUAAGGUAUCACUCAACCCCGCUAUUGGAUAUAACACGAAUUCCACACAAAUGGUAACAAUUUUUAAGAGUGUCUCUAUUCGUUGUUCUGAUAUAGGUGAUUAUCUUUUUAUGAAUUUCUUUCAUUGGUUUAUAUAUUGAAAACCUGAUUGUUUCUUUUAUUCUGGUAUCCACGUUCAGAUGACAGUGAGUUUCUUCUACUUUGAGAAAUAAAAAAAAGUACUGAGAUUAAGGUCUACAUAAAGCUAUUUAUAAAGUUAGAAUUCAUAGGUCGUUUGGUAUGCAAUUUUAACUUAUAUGUCUCCAUAAUUGUAAUUGUUUUAAUGCAGUUAAGGUGUAGCUCAAUUCUUCUUAACUAUUGGAAAUUGGAGUAUUUUUAGGAGCCCAAUGUGAAAUAUUUCUAUUUAAAUAUAUGUUGGUUAUAGAAUUUUGUAAAUAGAUUAGAGCUUUGGUUUGAAUAGAUUAGAGCUUCGGUUUAUAAUUCUUGUGGUGGUGUUUUAACUUUUAAACUGAAAGGUUGAAGACGCACACCAAGUGUUCGAUUAAAUGCUUCAACCAACUUUAUAUGGUUUAUCUCUGUUCCACUAGCUCCAUGACCGUCUUCUUUGUCCAAAUUGUAUUGUGAUACUUUUAGAUUUCUAAUUGUAUGAAAACUUAGCAAUUAGAUAAUUAAGCAUCCUUUUGACUCUAUCCAUUAAGACCGCUUUACCUGUGUAACUAAUUAUUUUUGCUUAACUGAGACUAUAUUUCUGUAAUUAUUUCUUGCUUACGGGUUUAAACCCGUCUAACUUUCUGGCUCAAGGGAUUGUUACUAAUUUUUAUUCCUUCUAAGCUAGUUUAGUCAUUGGUAAAUAUUUUUAUCAUAUUUGUUGUUUGUGUUUUUUAAUCAUGUAUAGUAACUAAUAUUAAUUUUCUUACAUCUUGCUGUUGGAAUACUUUUAUAACUUGACAUUAAUAAGAAAGAAAUCCCUCUACAGAAUACUAGAUGUACUUUUCCUUUAUAUUAUUUACCAUCACUAGAACUAUCAUAAUGUAAUUCAAAUCAUGUAUAUAUUUUCUGAAUUAAAUAUAUUUUGCAUACCGAACUUGUUAUUGACUAUAUUAUGGCAAUGCAGAAUUACUCCAUUUAGAAGCAUUUCAUUAAUUAAAUGGUGAACACAUAUGACAAGUGGUGUCAUGGGUAUGAAGAAUAAAUUUCAAGAAUUUAAUGAGAUUUGUUUUUUUGGGGUUUAAGUUGCUCAUGUUAAUUGGUUUUACCAUCGUCGUCACCUGAUUUUGUUCUUUUGUGUAGAAUAGAAGUAGAGGCGCAAACGAGCCAAGCGGCUCGUAAGAUGCUCGAGAAAAAGUUCAAAACAAGCUGAGCCUUAUCGAGUUGAGCAUGAGCCUAAAUUAAAAGUUCUUUUAGUUAUCGAGCCCGAGCACGAGCCUGACAUGUGAAGCUCGUCAGCCUUGUCGAGCCUUGGUGUAAUGUAAGUUUUUAUUAAUUUUUAUAACAUUUACCCAUUAUUUAAAGUUGUCUAGUAAACGAGCCAGUCCGAACCUAAAAAUAAGUUUGUUUAAUAAACGAGCCUGAACCCAAUCUUCAUUUACCAAGCUCGACAGCAUAAACAAAUCUAUUAUUUUUAUUUAUUAUAUUAAUUAAUAGAUAAUAAACGAGCCGAGAGCCUGAGACAAGUUAAUCGAGCGGUCGAGCUUGGGCUCGGUUUGGCUCGUUUGCACCCCUAAUUAUAUAAGUGAACAAGUUGCAUCAAACAUGUGAGACCCAUGCAGAAUGAUGAAAGGAUGCAACAAAGGAGAUCUACUGUGCCGGAUUUUGGUGAUGAUUGAAUAAAAAGUAGAUAUCUGGAGAUUGUAUAUGUGAUCACAGAUGGAAAGUUGACCAAAUCAAUAGAGGUUAAGAGUACAUGAAAGCGGAUAUCAAUGGAAUUCGUGAAAUAGGGUCGAGUUUUGCGCAACCUUUAUUUUUAGGUGACAAACAAUUAUUUUAGGCGUCAAAGGACAAACAAUAUUAUUGUUAAUGUUAAAAUGUUUGUAGUAUACUUGACAAAUGAUUCUUCAAUGAGUUGUUUUGGUAUAUAUAUAUCUGUAUUUGU
rnacentral:lncRNA from 1 species